rnacentral:rRNA from 1 species
AGGAGCUAUGCUAUCAGGUGGAUGGCUCGGCUCAAGAGCUGAUGAAGGACGUGCCAAGCUGCGAUAAGCCUGGGGUAGGCGCAAGGAGCCAAUGAACCCGGGAUCUCCGAAUGGGACCUCUCCAUAGUGAUCAGUAAUGAUCGGGAACGUGGUGAAUUGAAACAUCUUAG